rnacentral:rRNA from 1 species
UACGUAGGUGGCAAGCGUUGUCCGGAUUUACUGGGCGUAAAGAGCGCGCAGGCGGUCGUUCAAGUCGCGUGUGAAAGCCCCCGGCUCAACUGGGGAGGGUCACGCGAUACUGGUCGACUCGAAGGCAGGAGAGGGUAGUGGAAUUCCCGGUGUAGUGGUGAAAUGCGUAGAUAUCGGGAGGAAUACCAGUGGCGAAGGCGGCUUCCUGGCCUGUUCUUGACGCUGAGGCGCGAAAGCUAGGGUAGCAAACGGG